rnacentral:rRNA from 1 species
AUCUACGGCCAUACCACCCUGGAUGUGACUGAUCUCGUCUGAUCUCGGAAGCUAAGCAGCGUCAGACCUGAUCAGUACUUGGAUGGGAGAAAUUGCUCUCAAGAUUUAGGUGAGUAGGGC